GGGCCUGUAGCUCAGCUGGCAGAGCAGCCGGCUCAUAACCGGUCGGUCACAGGUUCGAUCCCUGUCAGGCCCA
rnacentral:tRNA from 1 species